rnacentral:rRNA from 3 species
GUACGUACAAGCAGUGGGAGCACAGGUUUACCUGUGUGACUGCGUACCUUUUGUAUAAUGGGUCAGCGACUUAUAUUCUGUAGCAAGGUUAACCGUAUAGGGGAGCCGGAGGGAAACCGAGUCUUAAUUGGGCGUUAAGUUGCAGGGUAUAGACCCGAAACCCGGUGAUCUAGCCAUGGGCAGGUUGAAGGUUGGGUAACACUAACUGGAGGACCGAACCGACUAAUGUUGAAAAAUUAGCGGAUGACCUGUGGCU